UACGGGGGGGGCAAGCGUUGUCCGGAAUCAUUGGGCGUAAAGAGCGUGUAGGCGGCCCGGUGAGUCCGCUGUGAAAGUCGGGGGCUCAACCCUCGAAUGCCGGUGGAUACUGUCGGGCUAGAGUGCGGAAGAGGCGAGUGGAAUUCCUGGUGUAGCGGUGAAACGCGCAGAUAUCAGGAGGAACACCAAUUGCGAAGGCAGCUCGCUGGGACGUAACUGACGCUGAGACGCGAAAGCGUGGGGAGCAAACAGG
rnacentral:rRNA from 1 species